rnacentral:tRNA from 1 species
GUAGACGGCUAGAAAGAGACUUAAAAUCCCUCGAUCUCUGAUCGUACGGGUUCGAUUCCCGUCGUCCGCACCA